rnacentral:tmRNA from 1 species
AGAGGCGGGAUUGGAAGACAACGAUCGUCGCGAUGCAUGCCGGGCUCCCUUAUGCAGCUCGUUAAAAAGCGUAGGGAAACACAAUUGCCAAUAACAAUGAAUUGGCUCUCGCUGCCUAAUUAGGCGUCGGGCGUCUCACCGCAAGUUGCUCAUGCGCGCGGAAUGAGAUGUCACUCAGAUGAGCUGGCCCGCUGCUUCGGUCCGUGGCAGUAGGCGAGAUAAAGUCGGACUAGCUCAUGCUGAGGUCUUGUCGUUUCACUGACUCGGCACUGAGCGAAAUUUUUCCCGAGCAAUCGGGAGAGAAAGAGAAACGACUAAGCAUGUAGACUCCUUCGGCGUUGGUUUUUGGAUCCGAGUUCAAUUCUCGGCGCCUCCACCA